CCCUAUUAUUAGGGAGUUAAAUUAAAAUUAGGGAGUAAUUUAAACUGAAAACUAUCUAGAAUGGCGGUUUUUUUUAUUUUCAGAUAAAUGUGUUUUGAAAACGAAACUGCACGAACAUCUUUCUUGAUUUAGAACUUAUCCAUCCGUUACACCGCCGUCUGAAGAAUCAAGUUAGUAAAUUAAUUCUACCUCUUUCUUAAAGAAAUAAGUCAGGUCAGGUGACGACUAUGAUCAAGAAAAAAUGCAUUUCAUUAAAACUAACAAGGAGAGUUUGAAAGAACCAAUCUAAGAAGAAUUUGAAAGUAGGCCUUUUUAAUUAAAAAAUGUCGAAUUAAUACUAAAAAAAUGUACACAUCGCCC
rnacentral:rRNA from 1 species